AUUUAAAUGGAAAACAAUUACAGUAAGGUACCUAAUUGUUACACAUAAAUGAUUUGAUAUUGAUAUAAAAACGGCUGCAUUUGGUCUUUAAGGAUUUUGAUGAUUUGCAGUGCCAGAAGGAAUUGGUCUGGGAUGUCUGUGCUCCCAGUGCUGUGAAAUAAAGCCCGACAGGACCAGAGUUUUAAUCCAGCUACUGGUUCUUGCAUAUAUUAAUGCCAGGCAAGCAGAACUCUGAUGAUGAUGGGACUGUGGCCCCUCGAUGAGAGCAUCAUUAUUAUGACUCUGUCAAAAUGGCCCCGUCAUACUGGCUCUUUUCAGAAGAUGGGCUGUCUGACACAAAUGACCCGCUUUCUAAACACGCAGGCAUGCAUGUACACUCGCACACAGGUACACACACACACACACACACACACACAGGUAGACACGCACACAGGUAGACACGCGCACACACACACACACACACACACACACACACACACAGGUAGACACGCACACACACACACACAGGUACACACACACACACACACACACAGGUACAUACACACACACACACACACACAGGUACACACACACACACACACACACAGGUACACACACACACACACACACACACACACACAGGUACACACACACACACACAGGUACACACACACACACAGGUACACACACACACACACACAGGUACACACACACGCACACACACACACAUAUUCUUGUACAGCUAACUUUGCGGGGACACACAAUUCAGUCCCAUUCAAUAUCCUAAUUUCCCUAACCCUAACCCUCACUCUUACCAUAACCAUAACCCUAACCUUAACCCAAAGACCUAACCUUAACCCUAGCUCCUAACACUAACCCUAGCGCCUAACCCUAAUUCUAACCCUAACAUUAAUUCUAACCCUAACUCUAAUCUAACCUUAACCCUAAACCUCCUAGAAAUAGCAUUUGACCUUGUGGGGACCAACACAAUAUCCUCAGUUGGUCAAAUGUUUAUUUGUUUCCUAUUCUUGUGGGGGCUUCUGGUCCCCACAAGAAUAGUUAAACACGUUCACACAAAGAGAGAGUGGAGUUUGUGUGUGUGAGUUUCUCCUCCUAUAAUGCCAGUGAUGAAUUACCUCAUGUAUUUUGUAAAGCCCAUUUAACAACAAAAGGAAGCUAUUAUGUAGACCUGGCGAGAAAACACAGAAUAAAUGAAUACAUCUAAAUGCAUCAAAGGCUGGCGCUUGAAAUUCAGAUAGAGUGGUACAAACUGAGCAAAGCACACCACAGUAUACAGUGAAGGUUUAUUCACAAGAGGAUUACUAUUACUGUAGCCCAGCGGUGACGGCUCUCUUAGAAAGAACGAUGUCUGCUUACACGCUCUUACAAAAGGGAAAUUCUCAAGUCAUUUUAUUUUCAUUUGAAUGUUGUGUCCUUUCAGUCAAUACGAGAUCCUCUCUCCGAAUGCUGGUUGGACAAAUACUUAGGGUGAGUCAAGGUCAUGGAGGCUUUGCCGUGCCUUCUAUCCCAUACAGUGAGGCACAGAGGGCUCUAAACACACCACCGUUGACUAGAGCGACUGAAUAGAGAGCCUUUCUUUGUACAGUAGGCCUAUUAUUGAUUGAGAAAUCACACACAUACAGUAUGACGUACUGUCAAAUGUUGAUAAGCCAACAAAAAGCAUGACCAUUUGAUAAACAGGACUGAUUUAAAAUUUAAAAAAGUUGUGUGUGUGUGAGAGAGAGAGAGAGAGAGAGAGAGUAAGAGGGAGGGAGAGAGAGAGAGCAAGAGGGAGAGGGAGAGAGAGGGCUACAAAAAACCCAAUAGAACACUUAUCAAGUUAAAGUCCUGAUGAAUAUUUAAAAUUCAAGUCUCUGUAUAAAGCAAUUAUAAAUGGCAUUAUCUCAGCACAGAAAAUUAUUUCCUGAGCUUGCGGUCUCCUCAUUCAUUCAUUGUGAAUGUUAUCAUAAUUGAACACAGUGUCUAGUUUUCAGUGUGAGGCGUGUGUGUGUGUGUUUUAGAUUGGAAGAAGACUCAUUUCCCAUUCAGGAGCGAGGAGGCACAAGCUUCCGCGUUAAUUAAUGAUACUUUCACAGGACUACAGCCUGUUUUCAGACCUACAGGCCCUCGGGCUAUGAUUAAGUUCAGUUCACCUUGCUUGGCGGUCGCAGGCAGGCAGUGUUUGGUGUGUGUUUUCCUGCUUGAAAUGUCACUCAUGCUACAGCUGUUUAACACGGGGGCAGUAAGAUGUCAGAAAACAUUCAUAGUGAUCAAAUCUGACCUGAUGUCUGUCAACUAAUGUUUAUACAACUGAAAUAUUACAGUGUUAAAAUAGCUAAAGUGUUGAAGGUGCUAGGAGAGAAAAGAGCGAAAAGAGAGAGAAAUAGUUCAAUCAUCAAUUUAACAUGACCCCGAUCAGAUCAUCAAUUUAACAUGACCCCGAUCAGAUCAUCAAUUUAACAUGACCCCGAUCAGAUCAUCAAUUUAACAUGACCCCGAUCAGAUCAUCAAUUU
ensembl:lncRNA